GGCUAGCUCAGUCGGUAGAGCAUGAAACUCUUAAUCUCAGAAUCGUGGGUUCGAGCCCCACGUC
rnacentral:tRNA from 1 species